CAAAAAAAGUUGCUUUUACAAAUAAAAUAGAUUAUAGCUCCCACUUUUUUGGAAAACUAGAUACUCAAGAGUGCUAACUUGGGCUAGAUCAAAGGUUCAUUUAGAAUUCCUAUUGCUGACUGACCUUUUUGCAGUUGUUCUCUGUAACUAUACUAUUUUUUUCGUACUUGAAGGAACAAGCACAAAAGAGAAAAGAGAAGCGUGAAGAGGAAGAUAGAAAACAGCAAGAAAAGGUUGAUGCUUUGGUAGCACAGCAUACUCAAAUGGCUGAAGAGGCAGAGCAAAUYAGRCGACAAAUUGAGCGAUUCAACAGACGAAAUAAUCAUUUGCC